CAUUUCCAACAGUAACCAAAUUUGAUGAUUUAUCGUCAGCAUGUGAAUCCAAUGAAGUGCUGUAAAUGGUAAAGACAGUGACAAAGCUAAUGCUAUCUCCAACAUUAGAGGCAUUGGAAGGGGUUAGGAAAUGGGACUUGUUGAGAGCUUUAGAGCCUUGGCAUUGCAACCGAUUAGGCAAGCCUUGCCCAGCAGCAGGACCAAGAACCAGAUGAUCAGACUUUUUAUUUCGUUUCUUUGGGGCAAUUUCUAUGACUGAGUUGGGAUGAAAUUCAAAAACUUCCAAAAAAACAAUAAAAAAAUUCAGCCACAAUUAAUUUCAAGUACCCAAUAAUAAAAAAACAAAACAAUGCCAAAAAAAAUGAUGAGAAC
rnacentral:misc_RNA from 1 species